rnacentral:lncRNA from 1 species
AUAUAAUAUCUCAUUCAUCCCACAUUCUCUCUCUUCCACCUUAAUAGAAAUUAGACUAUGGAUCCCAACCGCAACCCCCAAUUUCUAUGAGAUCCUAUAUAAUGUUGUCCACCAUAUUAAAUAGAAACAGCUCUAUCCGUACAAGUGGACACCGUUGCAUCAAGACACACCACCUUUUUGGACAAAGUUAUGUUGCAAUAUACCACUCAUGACCAUCUCUCAUUCACUAUUCAGAACCCUAUGAUAACAUAUAAUUGUUGUGAACAUUAAGCGUUUGGUUGUACCACAAAUUUAAAGGCUAUAUGAAAAAAUGUUGUUUAGCUCAUACCAUCACUGGAGUCAUUAUAAAGUGGUGUGCCACAUGCUUCCUAUGUUGUCUCCUGAAUAGCUUAAUAAUCCGAAAUCACAUAAGAUUGGAUUAUCACUCUGCGCAAGUAUGAAAAAAAUAGAAACAAUCAUUUUAAUAACAUUGAAUAUCUAUCUAUCUAUAUAUAUAACUUGCAUAAGAAUAAUCUAGGAAAUUCGUUACCCCAUCUAAUAAAAUGUUUGGGGGUUUAAGAUCACACAAACAGCUGCCUCUGGUUUUGUGCACCAAAUGUAGUAUAUAGGCAAGGCCUCGUAGAACUUUUCUAACCUGAGCCCAACUCAAAUCUGAAGCAAAGAAAAUAAAAAUAUGUAAGUUAAAAUGCAAUGAGAAGGUUUAGACAACAUAUGAACUACAGAAAGAUGUACCUUCUAUUCUAGUACUUAAAUCUCCACCAGGGAUCCACUUUGUAACUAGGAAAUAAACCUCUUUAUUGGAAUCGAGCAGUCCAUAACCUUGACCUAUGAGCUUAAUCAUAUUAUCGUAUGGCAUGAGUUGCAAAAUACUUGCAUCAGUCUGCACAAGCAAAUUUUCAGUUGGAUUGAUAACUUCAGUCACUGAAAGAUACAAAACAAACUACUGAAAGAUUCAGAACAAACUAUUGUAUCACCUCAAGAUGAGUAAAUUGACCUUUAGAAACUUUGAAUGCAUAUUCACCGGGCCGUAGUCCCCAAACAUUUCCAAGCAAUAAAGGGACUCUGUAAACAUCACCGUACGAUCCAGAAGCUUGAGGUCCUUGAGGUCCUGAUUCCCUCAAAACUGCAGCUAACAGGCUUGGAUUCUCUAGGAGUUUUGUAGUAUAGUUUUGGACUGUUCAAACUCUUAGAGCUGUCAGUAUGACUAUAAACGCAUUGGGUGCACUUAUUAACUUGAUUAAAGGUUGGAACUUUUAGAUGCAUUCUAAUUUUUUAACAAGGCAGUCAAGUUGAUUGGAAAGGAACUUCAAGUGCCAUUGCAUUUAGCAGGACUAAUAGAAGCACUAGACAGAUGUGAAGGGGCAAAGUUUGCACUCCGUUUCUACGAAGUAAAGCAAGUCGAAUAUAUCUGGUGGUCCUGUCCAUCUGGGACAACAGAAACCCAAGCUAUGACAUUCUUUGACUUUAAGCUUUACCUUUCCUUUAGAAGAUCCUUAGAAGAUGGACAACAGUAGCUAUGACAUUCUCCUUUUUUGGAUGUUUUAUUCUUUUUGGUAGAGCUCAUUACGUUAUAGGAGUACUUUGCUACUCAUAAUGUAACAGGUUGUGAAAGGGAGCACCUAAAGAAAAAGGCAACCUGAAGCAUUAAGCUCACGCUAUGCGCAAGGUUCGAGGAAAGGACACCACAAGUCAGUUGUACGUUGUUUUACCUUGCAUUUCUAUAAGAGGUUGUUUCUUCAGAUUAAACCAAUGACCUCUUUGUCACGAGGUGGCAACUCUUACCAUUGCAUCAAUGAGCAUUCAAUGGGCUAUAUCUUUUUCAAGAAUAUGUGGGUAUGUUCUCCUUGCUUUACGCGAAACAAUAACUAGGUGAAAGAACGUAAUGUUUUUUCAUGCUUUUCCGUACUUCCAUUCCUUACGUUGUUACUACUUAAGCUUAAUUGUCUAGCUUUCGACUAAAUCUUAAACGCAGCAUGGGUUCAUCACUUUUUCACUGCAUAAGUGAUACUCAAAACCAGUGUUUUAAAAAGCGACGAAGCGAUCGCUUUAAGCGAGAAGCGACGCGAAGCGAUGGCUGCUCGCUUUUCCAUGUCUGAGGCGACUCGACCACAUGAAGCGCUCGCUUCAGUCGAAAAAGUGCGAAGCGACCUUGAAACGAGAAGCGCAAAAUCGCUCACUUCUAUUCAGAGGGGUCAGUUUUUUUUUU